ACAACUAAGCGCUCCUUUCCGCUCCACUGCGUGGGCCUCUGCCUCUCACCGGCUGUAGAAAAUGGUGAAAGAAACCACUUACUAUGAUGUUUUGGGAGUCAAACCCAAUGCCACUCACGAAGAAUUGAAGAAGGCAUAUAGAAAACUGGCCUUGAAGUACCACCCUGAUAAGAAUCCAAAUGAAGGCGAGAAGUUUAAACAGAUUUCUCAAGCUUAUGAAGUUCUCUCUGAUGCGAAGAAAAGGGAAUUAUAUGACAAAGGAGGAGAACAGGCGAUUAAAGAGGGUGGAGCAGGUGGUGGUUUUGGUUCCCCCAUGGACAUCUUUGAUAUGUUUUUUGGAGGAGGAGGAAGGAUGCAGAGAGAAAGGAGAGGUAAAAAUGUGGUACAUCAGCUCUCAGUUACCUUAGAAGAUUUAUAUAAUGGUGCCACAAGAAAACUGGCUCUGCAAAAGAAUGUGAUUUGCGACAAAUGUGAAGGCUGAGGUGGCAAAAAAGGAGCAGUAGAGUGCUGUCCCAAUUGCAGAGGUACUGAAUGCAAAUAAGAAUUCAUCAGAUAGGACCUGGAAUGGUUCAACAAAUUCAGUCUGUGUGCAUGGAGUGCCAGGGCCAUGGAGAACGGAUCAGUCCUAAAGAUAGAUGUAAAAGCUGCAAUGGAAGGAAGAUAGUUCGCGAGAAGAAGAUUCUGGAAGUUCAUAUUGACAAAGGCAUGAAAGAUGGCCAGAAGAUAACAUUCCAUGGUGAAGGAGACCAAGAACCAGGAUUGGAGCCAGGAGAUAUUAUCAUUGUGUUAGAUCGGAAGGACCAUGCUGUUUUUACUCGGUCAGAUUGUCAAGCAUGGAGAUACCAAGUGUGUGCUAAAUGAAGGCGUGCCAAUUUAUCGUAGACCAUAUGAAAAGGGUCGCCUAAUCAUCGAAUUUAAGGUAAACUUUCCUGAAAAUGGCUUUCUUUAUCCUGAUAAACUCUCAUUGCUGGAAAAACUUCUACCAGAGAGGAAGGAAGUAGAAGAGACUGAUGAAAUGGAUCAAGUAGAACUGGUGGACUUUGAUCCAAAUCAGGAAAGACGGCGCCAUGACAAUGGAGAAGCAUAUGAGGAUGAUGAACAUCAUCCCAGAGGUGGUGUUCAGUGUCAAACUUCUUAAUGAGACCAGUGAAUGACACUCAUGCUGGCAUUUUUGUGCAGUAACGAAUGAGUGAAGGACUGUAAUCAUAAUAUGCUCACUACUUGCUAUUGUUUCUGUUUUAAUAUUCAACUAUAGUAGUGUUUUAAA